AUUGAACGCUGGCGGCAUGCCUUACACAUGCAAGUCGAACGGCAGCAUGGAGAGCUUGCUCUCUGAUGGCGAGUGGCGAACGGGUGAGUAAUGCAUCGGAACGUACCGUGUAAUGGGGGAUAACGUAGCGAAAGUUACGCUAAUACCGCAUACGACCUGAGGGUGAAAGCAGGGGAUCGCAAGACCUUGCGUUAUACGAGCGGCCGAUGUCAGAUUAGCUGGUUGGUGAGGUAAAGGCUCACCAAGGCGACGAUCUGGAGCGGCGUCUGAGAGGAUGAUCCGCCACACUGGGACGGAGACACGGCCCAGACUCCUACGGGAGGCAGCAGUGGGGAAUUUUGGACAAUGGGGGCAACCCUGAUCCAGCCAUGCCGCGUGAGUGAAGAAGGCCUUCGGGUUGUAGAGCUCUUUCGGCCGGGAAGAAAUCGCACAGGCUAAUACUCUGUGUGGAUGACGGUACCGGCAUAAGAAGCACCGGCUAACUACGUGCCAGCAGCCGCCGUAA
rnacentral:rRNA from 1 species